GACGAACGCUGGCGGCGUGCCUAAUACAUGCAAGUCGGACGCUGAAGGAGGAGCUUGCUUCUCCGGAUGAGUUGCGAACGGGUGAGUAACGCGUAGGUAACCUGCCUGGUAGCGGGGGAUAACUAUUGGAAACGAUAGCUAAUACCGCAUAAGAGUAGAUGUCGCAUGACAUUUGCUUAAAAGGUGCAACUGCACCACUACCAGAUGGACCUGCGUUGUAUUAGCUAGUUGGUGAGGUAACGGCUCACCAAGGCAACGAUACAUAGCCGACCUGAGAGGGGGAUCGGCCACACUGGGACUGAGACACGGCCCAGACUCCUACGGGAGGCAGCAGUAGGGAAUCUUCGGCAAUGGACGGAAGUCUGACCGAGCAACGCCGCGGGAGUGAAGAAGGGUUUCGGACCGUAAAGCUCUGUUGUAAGAGAAGAACGAGUGUGGGAGUGGAAAGUUCACACUGUGACGGUAGCUUACCAGAAAGGGACGGCUAACUACGUG
rnacentral:rRNA from 1 species